rnacentral:lncRNA from 1 species
UCUUCUUCAAAGCUCAGUUUGUACUUUGUGUUCUUAAACGUGUGUGGUGUAUCUGCUUCUCCACAGCUGGAGCUAGGCUUUUCGUUCAGUUAAUGAAGAAACACUAAUAACUUUACGAUUAAGCAAUGGUAUCACUGCUUUUUCUUUCCCAGUUCAAUUAGGGUCAAGCUCUCACCGCCACAGAGGGUCUAGACGAGGCUUCUAGACAGUUGAAGCUCUUGCUUAAAGCAGCUUGAGGCUCUCCAGGCAGUUUGGAUGGCACAUUGGGCUUCCCAUUCCCAUCCCUGCACAGAGGUCAGUGUUAUCCUCACUUGAAUUUUCAAAAAGGCCGUGUACUGGACAGAUUCUCCUCACACCACUGGUAUUUGAAGUACCUCUGGAAGCUCCGUGCUUUGUUCUCUGUCUGUCUACAGAAUGAAGCAUAAGUAAUGGCAGAGAACUGAAGAUAAAUUUACCCGUAGCGAGUGAUGGUUGCAUUCUUGCUUUUACAUAUUUCUUGCUGAGCUUUUAUUGCAUUACUAGUAUUUUUCAAGUAUGAAAAAGCAGGUACUUUUUCCUCUACAGAUGAAACAUCAGCAUCAUAAACUAUUGCUUGAGAUUGGAAGCUCAUUAGCAAAAUCGGUGUUAGUUCAUGCACAAUUAAUAGGGAGGUUGGUGUUUUGUCACUAGUGGUUACCUCAGGAAGUCUUACCUUUGUGCUGGGGGAGGUUCAAAGUACUCGUUUAUAACUGAGCCACUGUCGAUGGAAGCUUCCUGCAGACACCUCUGCUAAUGCACUGGGCCAGCUCGGAGAUCCAGAAUUCGGAAGCUGAAGCAAGUAGUCCCGUCUGUCAAGAACUGAAAGCCCAUCCUUACAGGUACACCACUCUACAUAGAAGAAAGAUCUUUGUCCAAGGGAGCAGUGGUUCUGCAUUACAGCAAACUCCUCUCUGAGGAGAAAAGACAGCCCCAUGCCAGGAGAAACCAUCUGUAAGAGUGAGGCCCGAGGGAGGACACAGAAGAUGAGAGAGCCCCAUGGCUAAAUGUUGAAACUGGUGAGGUGUGUCGCUGCUGGGGAUUUCCGUACGGGGUUUUCAUCUCUGGCUGUUACUCCUGCAAAACACUGGGCUGGAAUGUUGAAGUCAGUGUGGCUGAUGUUUAUUGUGGGACGUGGGGUAGGGUUAGAGGUAGCGGAUUGCUAGUGGGCGGCUCCUGGAAGUGUGGAAUGGGCCAGGAGUUGUGUUCUGAACAGCCCCAGGGAACACCUUAACAGCAGGUGCUCCUCUCUAUCUCUGGCUGUAAAACCAGGGAUAAGCAUCUUCAUUCCUUUGCCUCGCAGGGCGCUGUCAGGACAUCUUAAGGUCGGUGAAAGUCAGGCGGAGUCAGCGCUUGUUGUCCUGUGCUGCUCUGUGUCGUGGUCCUGGGCACCCUUCAGAGUUCGUUUGUAUAUACCCUGCAUUUUGAAAGAACAAAUUGGUGAUUAACUUCAAGUUGCGCCAGGGGAAGUUCAGGUUGGAUAUUAGGAAACAUUUCUUUACUGAAAGGGUUGUCAGGCAUUGGAAUGGACUGCCCAGGGAGGUGGUGGAGUCACCAUCCGUGGAGCUAUUUAAGAAACACAUAGACAUGGCUCUUCAGGGCAUGCUUUAAUGCCCAAGAUUAUUGGUUUGUGGUGGGAUGUUGUGUGGGUGGGUGAUGGUUUUUGGUUUGGUUGUUGUUGUUGUGUGUUUAGGGGGUGGGUGGUGGUUUGUGGGGUUUUUUUUUGGUUUUUUGUUUUUUGUUGUUUUUUUUUUUGUGGUUGGACUCGAUGAUCUCUGAGGUCCCUUCCAACCACUAUGAUUCUUUGAUUCACAGUCCUAGUAUGUAAGUGUGCUUGCGUAUCAGUGUAUAGCUAGUAUACACAUAUAUGAAUGUCCAUAUUUGUCAACAGUUAAGGUGGUAGUUUGGCUUUCUCCUA